rnacentral:rRNA from 1 species
AGGACGAACGCUGGCGGCGUGCCUAAUACAUGCAAGUCGAACGGUCUUUCUAUGGAAGCUUGCUUCCACUGAGAAGAUAGUGGCGAACGGGUGAGUAACACGUGGGUAACCUGCCCAUAAGAGGGGGAUAACAUCCGGAAACGGGUGCUAAUACCGCAUAGUUUUCUUGAUUGCAUGAUUGAGAAAGGAAAGACGGCCUUUGUGCUGUCGCUUAUGGAUGGACCCGCGGCGUAUUAGUUAGUUGGUGAGGUAACGGCUCACCAAGACGAUGAUACGUAGCCGACCUGAGAGGGUGAUCGGCCACAUUGGGACUGAGACACGGCCCAAACUCCUACGGGAGGCAGCAGUAGGGAAUCUUCCGCAAUGGACGAAAGUCUGACGGAGCAACGCCGCGUGAGUGAAGAAAAGGUUUUCGGAUCGUAAAACUCUGUUGCCAGAGAAGAACAAGUUGGAGAGUAACUGCUCCAGCCUUGACGGUAUCUGACCAGAAAGCCACGGCUAACUACGUGCCAGCCGCUGC